AAGUAUUAAAGRUGUUGCCUGCCCAGUGAACACUCUUCAACGGCCGCGGUAUCCUAACCGUGCAAAGGUAGCGUAAUCACUUGUCCCCUAAAUAGAGACCUGUAUGAACGGCUAAAUGAGGGCGGGACUGUCUCUUAUGGUUAAUCAGUGAAACUGAUCUUUCAGUACAAAAGCUGAAAUACUAACAUAAGACGAGAAGACCCUGUGGAGCUUUAAAUACACAACUAAAAAGUCAACGACACCUAGUAACUAGUUUUAAGUUGGGGCGACUUCGGAACAAAACAAAACUUCCGAGCACAGAACAACCACUUCUGACUGAGGCCAACAAGCCAAAGUCCAUAAAACUGAUCCGGCUCUAGCCGAUUAACGAACUAAGUUACCCCAGGGAUAACAGCGCAAUCUUCUCCGAGAGUUCCUAUCGACGAGAAGGUUUACGACCUCGAUGUUGGAUCAGGACACCCAAAUGGCGCAGCCGCUAUUAAAGGUUCGUUUGUUCAACGAUUAACAGUCCU
rnacentral:rRNA from 1 species